rnacentral:rRNA from 1 species
CCUACGGGGGGCAGCAGUGAGGAAUAUUGGUCAAUGGGCGCGAGCCUGAACCAGCCAAGUAGCGUGAAGGAAUACUGCCCUACGGGUUGUAAACUUCUUUUAUAAAGGAAUAAAGUGAGGCACGUGUGCCUUUUUGUAAGUACUUUAUGAAUAAGGAUCGGCUAACUCCGUGCCAGCAGCCGCGGUAAUACGGAGGAUCCGAGCGUUAUCCGGAUUUGUUGGGUUUAAAGGGAGCGUAGAUGGGUUGUUAAGUCAGUUGUGAAAGGUUGCGGCUCAACCGUAAGAUUGCAAUUGAUACUGGCAGGCUUGAGUACAGGUGAGGUAGGCGGAAUUCGUGGUGUAGCGGUGAAAUGCUUAGAGAUCACGAAGAACACCGAUUGCGAAGGCAGCUUACUAAACUGCCACUGACGUUGAGGCACGAAAGUGUGGGUAUCGAACAGGAUUAGAUACCCUAGUAGUC